CCUCACCCUCGUAAGACUACCCGCUGAACUUAAGCAUAUCAAUAAGCGGAGGAAAAGAAACCAACAGGGAUUGCCUCAGUAACGGCGAGUGAAGCGGCAAAAGCUCAAAUUUGAAAUCCCCCGGGAAUUGUAAUUUGAAGAGAUUUGGGUCCGGCCGGCAGGGGUUAAGUCCACUGGAAAGUGGCGCCACAGAGGGUGACAGCCCCGUGAACCCCUUUAACGCCUUCAUCCCAGAUCUCCAAGAGUCGAGUUGUUUGGGAAUGCAGCUCUAAGUGGGUGGUAAAUUCCAUCUAAAGCUAAAUACCGGCGAGAGACCGAUAGCGAACAAGUACAGUGAUGGAAAGAUGAAAAGCACUUUGAAAAGAGAGUGAAAAAGUACGUGAAAUUGUUGAAAGGGAAGGGCUUGCAAGCAGACACUUAACUGGGCCAGCAUCGGGGCGGCGGGGAGCAAAACCACUGGGGAAUGUACCUUUCGAGGAUUAUAACCCCGGUCCUUACUCCCUCACCAUCCCGAGGCCUGCAAUCUAAGGAUGCUGGCGUAAUGGUUGCAAGUCG
rnacentral:rRNA from 1 species